rnacentral:rRNA from 1 species
UGAGGAAUAUUGGUCAAUGGGCGGGAGCCUGAACCAGCCAAGUCGCGUGAGGGAAGACGGUCCUAUGGAUUGUAAACCUCUUUUGUCGGGGAGCAAAGAGGCCACGUGUGGUCAAAAGCGAGAGUACCCGAAGAAAAAGCAUCGGCUAACUCCGUGCCAGCAGCCGCGGUAAUACGGAGGAUGCGAGCGUUAUCCGGAUUUAUUGGGUUUAAAGGGUGCGUAGGCGGGACGGUAAGUCAGCGGUAAAAAUGCGGAGCUCAACUCCGUCGAGCCCGUUGAAACUGCCGUUCUUGAGUGAGCGAGAAGUAUGCGGAAUGCGUGGUGUAGCGGUGAAAUGCAUAGAUAUCACGCAGAACUCCGAUUGCGAAGGCAGCAUACCGGCGCUCAACUGACGCUGAAGCACGAAGGCGUGGGUAUCGAACAGGAUUAGAUACCC